CUUAGAUCCAGGCUUCAUGAUGAGUCCUCGAGCCUGAAUGAUCUCAACCUCCAGCUGCCCGUUCCUCUCCAUCAGACCGAUCUCAACAUCUCCUGAAAAACAUCAACGCACAUUAAAGAAUGUCAAGUGACAUGGGUGAAUACAGUCCAACACAACAACUACGACUCAACCAAUGGCGUGAGUUUGGGGCGGGACUAUCUGUUUUGACCGACCAAUGGCAGAUGGGGAGCCAUAAAUUUAACAGCUGUGGUCAUGGCUAUGAUGGACUGCAAUUUGUGGAAUAGGCUGCAUGAAGAUUCUUCAAAACAUCUCCUUUUGUGUUCCACACGGGUUUGGGACGACAUGAGGGUUUUUCUGGAUCAUUUCUUCAAGAUGCGUGCAGUUUAAUGCCAUUUCCUGACCAGAUGGGAUGCAACAAAAGUUUCCAGCAAGUUUUUGAAAGCGAAAAUGCUGCAAAGCAGCAACAUGAAGUCCAUGAAACUGUAAGAUUACAGAUAUGGAUUUCAAACGCCACUCAAGUGUCACAGUUUGGAAAAAGCAAACCCACAUCCUCGGACACACAUAUACAUCCACUCACCGCCAUCGUCCUCAUCGAAGGAGUUCAUGCAGGGGAAGUAGAUGGCCAGGGCCUCAAAGGAUGCGGACAAGCUGAUGCGAC